GAUGAACGCUAGCGGCAGGCCUAACACAUGCAAGUCGAGGGAGAAGCCCUUUCGGGGGCAGAAACCGGCGCACGGGUGCGUAACGCGUAUGCAACCUACCUUUCACAGGGGGAUAGCCCGAAGAAAUUUGGAUUAAUACCCCAUAAUAUUAUUGGAUGGCAUCAUUUGAUAAUUAAAACUGCGGUGGUGAAAGAUGGGCAUGCGUCCUAUUAGCUAGUUGGAGUGGUAACAGCACCCCAAGGCUACGAUAGGUAGGGGUCCUGAGAGGGAGAUCCCCCACACUGGUACUGAGACAGGGACCAGACUCCUACGGGAGGCAGCAGUGAGGAAUAUUGGUCAAUGGUCGGAAGACUGAACCAGCCAUGCCGCGUGCAGGAAGAAUGCCUUAUGGGUUGUAAACUGCUUUUAUAUGGGAAGAAUAAGGCGUACGUGUACGUUGAUGACGGUACCAUAUGAAUAAGCAUCGGCUAACUCCGUG
rnacentral:rRNA from 1 species